rnacentral:rRNA from 1 species
UACGGAGGAUGCGAGCGUUAUCCGGAUUUAUUGGGUUUAAAGGGUGCGUAGGCGGAUCGUUAAGUCAGUGGUCAAAUUGAGGGGCUCAACCCCUUCCCGCCAUUGAAACUCGCGAUCUUGAGUGGAAGAGAAGUAUGCGGAAUGCGUGGUGUAGCGGUGAAAUGCAUAGAUAUCACGCAGAACCCCGAUUGCGAAGGCAGCAUGCCGGCUUCCUACUGACGCUGAAGCACGAAAGCGUGGGGAUCGAACAGG